rnacentral:antisense_RNA from 1 species
UGUAGGAGUGAGCCUGCUCGCGAUGACGGUGUGUCAGUCACCUCAAUGUUGAAUGAGCUGCCGCCAUCGCGAGCAGGCUCACUCCUACA